rnacentral:rRNA from 1 species
UUCGGGGUUGUAAAGCCAUUUUCAGUGGGGAAGAAGGGUUGUCCGGCCAAUACCCGCAUAGAGCGACAUCACCCACAGAAGAGCCCCCGGCUAACUCCGUGCCAGCAGCCGCGGUAAUACGGAGGGUGCAAGCGUUAAUCGGAAUUACUGGGCGUAAAGCGCGCGUAGGCGGCUUGUCACGCCGGGUGUGAAAGCACCGGGCUCAACCUGGGAACGGCAUCCGGAACGGGCAGGCUAGAGUGCAGGAGAGGAAGGUAGAAUUCCCGGUGUAGCGGUGAAAUGCGUAGAGAUCGGGAGGAAUACCAGUGGCGAAGGCGGCUUUCUGGACUGACACUGACGCUGAGGUGCGAAAGCGUGGGUAGCAAACAGGAUUAGAUACCCUGGUAGUCCACGCUGUAAACGAUGUCGACUAGCCGUUGGGUCCCUUGAGGACUUAGUGGCGCAGUUAACGCGAUAAGUCGACCGCCUGGGGAGUACGGCCGCAAGGUUAAAACUCAAAUGAAUUGACGGGGGCCCGCACAAGCGGUGGAGCAUGUGGUUUAAUUCGAUGCAACGCGAAGAACCUUACCUAUCCUUGACAUCCUGCGAACCCGGAAGAGAUUCCGGGGUGCCUUCGGGAGCGCAGAGACAGGUGCUGCAUGGCUGUUGUCAGCUCGUGUUGUGAAAUGUUGGGUUAAGUUCCGUAACGAGCGCAACCCUUGUCCCUAUUUGCCAGUGAUUCGGUCGGGAACUCUAGGGAGACUGCCGGUGACAAACCGGAGGAAGGUGGGGACGACGUCAAGUCAUCAUGGCCCUUACGGGUAGGGCUACACACGUGCUACAAUGGCCGGUACAAAGGGUAGCGAAGCCGCGAGGUGAAGCCAAUUCCAGAAAGCCGGCCUCAGUCCGGAUUGGAGUCUGCAACUCGACUCCAUGAAGUCGGAAUCGCUGUAAUCGUAUCAGAUGAUUGUUCUUAACC